UGCCAGCCGCCGCGGUAAUACGGAGGGUGCGAGCGUUAAUCGGAAUAACUGGGCGUAAAGGGCACGCAGGCGGACUUUUAAGUGAGAUGUGAAAUCCCCGAGCUUAACUUGGGAAUUGCAUUUCAGACUGGGAGUCUAGAGUACUUUAGGGAGGGGUAGAAUUCCACGUGUAGCGGUGAAAUGCGUAGAGAUGUGGAGGAAUACCGAAGGCGAAGGCAGCCCCUUGGGAAUGUACUGACGCUCAUGUGCGAAAGCGUGGGGAGCAAACAGGAUUAGAUA
rnacentral:rRNA from 1 species